rnacentral:rRNA from 1 species
CAGGAUGAACGCUGGCGGCGUGCCUAAUACAUGCAAGUCGAACGCACAGCGAAAGGUGCUUGCACCUUUCAAGUGAGUGGCGAACGGGUGAGUAACACGUGGACAACCUGCCUCAAGGCUGGGGAUAACAUUUGGAAACAGAAGCUAAUACCGAAUAAAACUUAGUGUCGCAUGACACAAAGUUAAAAGGCGCUUCGGCGUCACCUAGAGAUGGAUCCGCGGUGCAUUAGUUAGUUGGUGGGGUAAAGGCCUACCAAGACAAUGAUGCAUAGCCGAGUUGAGAGACUGAUCGGCCACAUUGGGACUGAGACACGGCCCAAACUCCUACGGGAGGCUGCAGUAGGGAAUCUUCCACAAUGGGCGAAAGCCUGAUGGAGCAACGCCGCGUGUGUGAUGAAGGCUUUCGGGUCGUAAAGCACUGUUGUAUGGGAAGAACAGCUAGAAUAGGAAAUGAUUUUAGUUUGACGGUACCAUACCAGAAAGGGACGGCUAAAUACGUG